rnacentral:lncRNA from 1 species
GAGACAUUUUAAUUUUGGUCACUACUUGAUUGCUCUUUUCUUCAAUAAUUAUACUUUCAUCUUUGAUAAAAUUUACUCUAUAUCCUUUUUGCAACAAUCGUCCCACACUAAAUAAAUUUUGUGUAAGGCCCGGAACAUACAGAACAUCAGAAAUAAACUUGAUCUUACCUCCUGUGGUUUUUACAGCUAUCACACCCUUACCUGCAACCUUAUGAAUUUUUCCAUCUCCAAGCUUUACUUGAGAACUAUGUCUUCGUUUAACUUGACGAAGCUAUUCUUGUUCCCUGUCAUAUGGUUACUACAACCACUAUCCAAAUACCAAAUAUCUUUUGCAUCCGAAUCAACAUUAAAACAUGAAUAGAAUAGAUUAUCUGUUUCCGUAAAUUUAGCUUCGUCAGGUUUA